GCGAGGGGGAGCGAUGGGGCUCGGUGUGCCUCAGGGGCAGGAGGUGGGGGUCUCCGCCUGAGAGGUUACUGGGGCUGCUGCUGAGCGUCCUGAGCGAGGCAGAGCCGUGCUGGCUUUGGGAGGCGCUCAGCUGGGAGCUGUAAGGCAGGCACUGCCUGUUGGCUGGGCGGAAGGGCCCUGCUGAGCAGCGCUGAGCGCUGUGCCCUUCCCUCAUGCUGCCCGGUGCGCGGGGAGCCGUGCCCUGCUCCUCAUCCCUGUGAGGUGUUCACUGGGAUCUCGUGCUUUGGCUCCCGUUACACCUACCUUAUAAACCCUACUGGCAGCGAGGCCUUGUCACCUGAAAUAAGCAAAGUUAGGCAACUCGGGGAUUGGGGGGAGGUGAGCAGCUCUGAGGUAUGGCCCUGCUGCUCCUCGUUGUGAGUUUAAUUUCUGGGCUGAGGGAAAUUAGUUUGUAAGCUAGGUGCGAGGUGAGCUGUGCCCAGCAUGGCUUUGUUGUGAACGAAUUGAGCCAAUCUCAUCUCCAUCUCUGGCAGUGCAGCAGCUUGCAGAUGAGGUCAAGUUUGAGCUUGUAUUAAUGCACUGUCAGAGAACUAGAAUGCAAAAAGAGGAACUCUAGGGAAAAAAAGUAAGAGGUGUGGUACUGUAUACUUCAUAGUUGUGGAGUUGAUUGUAUUGAUCUUAGGAAAAGCAGCUGACUGUGCUGCAGGAAAGGAUGGAGGGGCUGCUGUGGGCUGUAAGCUGAAUGAGUAUCAGUGUCUUGUUGUUGGAGAGAAUGCCACACAGGUCUGUGUAAGUAAGAAAACUGCUAAUAAGGCACAGGCACCCUGCUAUGCUGAGCUGUGCUAAGACAGUAUGUCCAGUACUGGGCUCCACGUGAGGGAAUUUUGUGUGAUUUGGAGAAAAAAAAGUAAAAAUAAUGAUCGAGGUCUUUGAACACAUGGCUCUUACAGAGCCAGAGAGAACAGACAGCCACAGACAUGGUAAGUCUUCAAAUAGAUAAAAGGAUGGUGCCGUGAGGAAAGGGACAAUUUGUUCUCUCAUGUCCACUGGGGGUAGGGUGAGGAGCCAUAAGCUAAAAUAACAGCAAGGCUGAUCUGGGUUACAGUGGAAAAAAUGUUCAGUGAUUCUUCUGAACUAGUCAGGCACAGCGUUGGACUGACUAGGCAAGAUGUGGGCUCCUCUUAGAGGUUUUAAGAAUAGAUCAGACAAAUACUUCUCACAGCGGGUGAGGUACAAUAUAAGAUCUUGUGUUCGGGAAGGGGACUUUGCUUAAUGGGCUCCUAAACCAGUGUUACUGUGCUUCUGUAGCCCUGAGAUACAUAAUCGUUGCAGCCCUUAUUGGCUUAACGAUAAAACUAGUUCAGCUGCACAGAUUAAAGAUGCUCAACUAGGCCAAGUAACAUUACAUAACGGGAAUGAAAUUGCGUUUAAGCAUGGCUUUAUGUUUUCAAAAUGAUUUUCACCAGAUGGGGUGAAAGUAUCCUAAAUGAGGAACUCUGCAGAGCCUUUAAGCAUUAAAGGCUAAGGCCUCAUCUUCAGCAUAGCUUUCCAGAGAAUGUUCCACCUUUGUUCCUGUGGCAUUGCUGAUGCAAUUAAAGUGUGGUAAUCCAGAAAGGAUGCCAAUGGUUUUGAGAUUAAGGCCUCGCAAGCCAAAUCAAACUGAUUUUAAUGGAAGUAGUUUAGGUCAAUAUGACCUUAAGAUAUAUCAGGGGGAAAAAAAGAGCUGGGACAUCGUUUUCAUUCUUUUAUUAACAGCAAGGGCAUACAGCUGGUAACAGCUACUCAAAAAGUGGGUUGCUAUGUAACAAACGGGUAUUUGCAGAUAAUAGUGUUUAGUUUGAGAGGCCUUCUAGAUGUGUGUUAUUCACCCCAGGAUUUGAAAACUUUGCAAUUCCUGACACUGAGCAUGAUAUCCUAUCUGAUGCUUAAAAGGGGGACACAAGAAAGGUCAUCUUUUCCUAAUUGCAUCCUCUGCGUUUCUAGAACUGCCAUUUAGAUCACAAUUUAUCAAGAUUGAUUUUCAUCAGAAAUACUCUUGAAUUAUGAGGAGUGCUUGCCUUAAGGACAGACGAAGUCACCGAUUGAAAUAACUGCAAAUUCAGGAAUUUUAAGCUUGAAAAGUCAAUGUAUCCAAUUGUCCUGGUUUUUUGUUGUUGUUUUUGUUUUUUUGGGGUUUUUUUUUUGCAUCUUAAUACGGUGUUAUGUGUGACAACUGUUAGAAUGUCAUAUAAUUUGUGCAACUGUUGUAAUAGAAAAUAAGAAGGAAGGCAGACUGCAUAUUGAUCAGACUUACUGAGCGGUCUUCUUGCAUGCUGGCUGUCUAGAUAAUGAUAAGCUCGAUGCUGAUUGCUUUUUCCUUCCUGUCAGAGAUGAUCUGUGGUGGGAGCCUCCAUGCUCAAGCUGGUAGGCCUGGGGGCUGGGGCUCCAAGUGCCCACCUUUAGAGCUAAGUGUCCAAGUGUGCAAUGCUCAGCAGUGCCUGCCCUGCUGUUAGCCUGCUUUCCAAAGAUUGUAUGCUUGAAUGCAUUUGUUCCAGUUGUC
ensembl:lncRNA